rnacentral:lncRNA from 1 species
CAAAGUUAUCUAUAUCAAUUUGAUAUACGCUAUACACGAGAGUAUAUUAUAUUCUCCCCUCAGAAGUGGUUUAGGGUCAGGAACCAAAUAAUUUUAUCUUAUUAUUAUUGAUGUGCAGUGGAUAUUAACAUGAUAAUGCACAAAGAUGAUUUUCCAGAGUUGAGGAAACAACUUAGUUUUUCUAACAUGAGGGGGAGACAUGAUAAACACUUGAGAAAAAGUUACAUGGAACGGAUUAUCAUUUGUAUAUAUAGAUNN